rnacentral:rRNA from 1 species
GACGAACGCUGGCGGCGUGCUUAACACAUGCAAGUCGAACGAAGUGGCGAACGGGUGAGUAACGCGUAAUCAACCUGCCCUUCAGAGGGGGACAACAGUUGGAAACGACUGCUAAUACCGCAUACUGAAGGAGGGGUUUGCGUCGUAAUAGCUAGUCGGAGGGGUAACGGCCCACCAAGGCGAUGAUCAGUAGCCGGGCUUGGGAGAUGAACGGCCAAAUUGGGACUGGGACACGUCCCAGGAUCCUACGGGGGGUAGCAGUGGGGAAUCUUCCGAAAUGGAGGGAAGUCUGACGGAGGAAAGCCGCGUGGGUGAUGACGGCCGUCGGGUUGGAAAGCUCUGUUAAGCGGGACGCGGUACCGGAAUAGGAAGCCACGGCUAACUACGUGCCAGCAGCCGCGGUAAUUC